AGGUGCGAUCAUACCAGCACUAUAAUGCACCGGAUCUCAUCCGCAGUUAAACGUGUUUGGGCGAGAGUAUGUAGUACUAGGAUGGGUGACCUCCUGGAAAGUAUUUAUGUUGCACAUU
rnacentral:rRNA from 1 species